rnacentral:rRNA from 1 species
CUACGGGCUGCUGCAGUGGGGAAUAUUGCACAAUGGGCGCAAGCCUGAUGCAGCAACGCCGCGUGAGGGAUGAAGGCCUUCGGGUUGUAAACCUCUUUUAGCAGGGAAGAAGCGAAAGUGACGGUACCUGCAGAAAAAGCACCGGCUAACUACGUGCCAGCAGCCGCGGUAAUACGUAGGGUGCAAGCGUUGUCCGGAAUUAUUGGGCGUAAAGAGCUCGUAGGCGGUUUGUCACGUCUGCUGUGAAAAUCCAAGGCUCAACCUUGGACUUGCAGUGGGUACGGGCAGGCUAGAGUGCGGUAGGGGAGAUGGGAAUUCCUGGUGUAGCGGUGGAAUGCGCAGGUAUCAGGAGGAACACCAAUGGCGAAGGCACAUCUCUGGGCCGUAACUGACGCUGAGGAGCGAAUGCGUGGGGAGCGAACAGGAUUAGAUACCCGCGUAGUC